GGUGGGACAAGAUGGGAUGGGAUAAUGCUGCCUCUGGCAGUGCCCAGGCUCCUGUAUCACCUCCAUAAUGGGCAGGGUGGGCUCCUCAGCCUGGGGCUGACCUGCAGGUCUAACAAGGCCAGGGAGAAACAACUACCAUCUCUGACAAUGGGGAGCGGGUGCAAGAAGAGUGAACAUCGCUGUUUGGGCAUUGUAUCCACCUGGCUCAAGGAAAACUGUCCAGGAUGAGCUCCCCUCUAGCAGCUGAGGUAAAACAGCAUGAGGAAGCAUGAGGAUUUAUGAAGUGCAGUGAAACAGCCUGCACAGGCAUGUGGAUUUCAUGAAGGAUAUCUUCUGAAGGAGAGUGCA